GACGGAAGGUGCAAGCGUUGCUCGGAAUCACUGGGCGUAAAGGGUGCGUAGGCGGCUUGGUAAGUUGGGUGUGAAAGCCCCGGGCUCAGCCCGGGAAGGGCACUCGAAACUGCCGAGCUGGAGUGCCGGAGGGGAGAGUGGAAUUCCUGGUGUAGCGGUGAAAUGCGUAGAUAUCAGGAGGAACACCAAUGGCGAAGGCAGCUCGCUGGGACGGUACUGACGCUGAGACGCGAAAGCGUGGGGAGCAAACAGG
rnacentral:rRNA from 1 species